AGCUCCAAUAGCGUAUAUUAAAGUUGUUGCAGUUAAAAAGCUCGUAGUUGGAUUUGUGGUUCGUCCUGCUGGCUGGGUCUUUGACUUUAGCUGUGCUGGUCGUCCAUCCUUGGGUGGAAUCUGUGUGGCAUUAGGUUGUCGCGCAGGGGAUGCCCAUCUUUUACUGUGAAAAAAUUAGAGUGUUCAAAGCAGGCUUAUGCCGUUGAAUAUAUUAGCAUGGAAUAAUGAUAUAGGACCUUGGUACUAUUUUGUUGGUUUGCGCACUAAGGUAAUGAUUAAUAGGGACAGUUGGGGGUAUUCGUAUUCCAUUGUAAGAGGUGAAAUUCUUGGAUUUUUGGAAGACGAACUACUGCGAAAGCAUUUACCAAGGAUGUUUUCAUUAAUCAAGAACGAAAGUACG
rnacentral:rRNA from 1 species